rnacentral:rRNA from 1 species
UACGUAGGGGGCAAGCGUUGUCCGGAUUUACUGGGCGUAAAGCGCGCGUAGGCGGCUUUGUAAGUUAGAGGUGAAAGCCCGGAGCUCAACUCCGGAACUGCCUUUAAAACUGCAUCGCUUGAAUCCAGGAGAGGUGAGUGGAAUUCCGAGUGUAGAGGUGAAAUUCGUAGAUAUUCGGAAGAACACCAGUGGCGAAGGCGGCUCACUGGACUGGUAUUGACGCUGAGGUGCGAAAGCGUGGGGAGCAAACAGG